rnacentral:misc_RNA from 1 species
UCCCCAUUAACUGGGGCAGUUUCCUGUGAAAAAUUCAACACAGGAUAGGGGUUGCGCUCGUUAACCGACUGAACGGGACACCUCACGGCACGAGCUGACGACAACCGUGCAGCACCUGUCUUCUGGCUCCUUGCGGCACGGCCCUGUUUCUAGGGCUUUCCAGAGAUGUCAAACCUUGGUAAGGUUCUUCGCUUGCUAUCGAAUUAAACCACACGCUCCACCGCUUGUGCAGGUCCCCGUCAAUUCCUUUGAGUUUUAAACUUGCGUUCGUACUCCCCAGGCGGCCGACUUAACGCGUUAGCUUCGAUCCAAAGGAGGGUCGAUACUCCCCAAGACCUAGUCGGCAUCGUUUACAGCGUGGACUA